rnacentral:lncRNA from 1 species
AGUGAGGCUUAGGAGAUGGUGGUGGUGGAGACUUGUAUUCAUAUGGUGGUGGUGGUGAUGGGGAAGGUGGUGGUGGUGACUUGUACUCAUAAUGAGGCUUAGGAGAUGGUGGUGGUGGUGACUUGUAUUCAUAAUGAGGUUUGGGAGAUGGAGGUGGUGGUGACUUGUCUUCAUAAGGUGGUGGUGGAGACGGAGAUGGUGGUGGGGGAGACUUGUAUUCAUAAGGGGGUGGUGGAGAUGGAGAUGGUGGGGGGGGGGACUUGUAUUCAUAAUGAGGCUUGGGAGAUGGAGGCGGUGGGGACUUGUAUUCAUAAGGCGGUGGUGGAGAUGGAGAUGGUGGGGGGGGGGACUUGUAUUCAUAAUGAGGCUUGGGAGAUGGAGGCGGUGGGGACUUGUAUUCAUAAGGCGGUGGUGGAGAUGGAGAUGGUGGGGGGGGGGACUUGUAUUCAUAAUGAGGCUUGGGAGAUGGAGGCGGUGGGGACUUGUAUUCAUAAGGUGGUGGUGGAGAUGGAGAAGGUGGUGGGGGAGACUUGUACUCAUAAUGAGGCUUGGGAGAUGGAGGCGGUGGGGACUUGUAUUCAUAAGGUGGUGGGGGAGAUGGAGAAGGUGGUGGGGGCGACUUGUACUCAUAAUGAGGUUUAGGAGAUGGAGGUGGUGGUGACUUAUAUUCAUAAGGUGGGGGUGGGGAUGGAGAAGGUGGGGGGGGAGACUUGUACUCAUAAUGAGGUUUAGGAGAUGGAGGUGGUGGUGACUUAUACUCAUAAGGUGGUGGAGGAGAAGGAGAUGGUGGUGGUGGUGACUUAUAUUCAUAAGGUGGUGGUGGGGAUGGAGAAGGUGGUGGGGGAGACUUGUACUCAUAAUGAGGUUUAGGAGAUGGAGGUGGUGGUGACUUAUACUCAUAAGGUGGGGGAGGAGAAGGAGAUGGUGGUGGUGGUGACUUAUAUUCAUAAGGUGGUGGUGGGGAUGGAGAUGGAGGUGGAGGAGACUUGUACUCGUAAUGAGGUUUAGGAGAUGGUGGUGGGGGUGACUUGUACUCAUAAGGAGGUGGUGGAGAAGGAGAAGGUGGAGGUGGUGACUUAUAUUCAUAAUGAG